rnacentral:rRNA from 1 species
UACGUAGGGUGCAAGCGUUGUCCGGAAUUACUGGGCGUAAAGGGCUCGUAGGCGGCCAACUAAGUCCGACGUGAAAUCCCCAGGCUUAACCUGGGAACUGCGUCGGAUACUGGAUGGCUUGAAUUCGGGAGAGGGAUGCAGAAUUCCAGGUGUAGCGGUGAAAUGCGUAGAUAUCUGGAGGAAUACCGGUGGCGAAGGCGGCAUCCUGGACCGACAUUGACGCUGAUGAGCGAAAGCUAAGGGAGCAAACGGG